UCCCGAUUGCACCUUUAUACUUUAUUCAACAAUACAUCUCCUGUAGUGAUCAUUUGGUCUAACAGGACAGCAGACUAGGGUUUGCCCGCAGCGGGUAAACAGAAGACCAGCUCGCGGUGUGAAAUGUUCAGGAGACAGAAAGGCUUUUUAAAAACAUGGCUGCAGGCCUGCAUGCACAGAGCUAUGGAGUAUAGGCGGUCUUGUUCUCUACUACAGGAUAGUGCUGUACAAAUGGCUACGGUUCACACCGGUUGUUUUGAGGGGGACAGGGAUGGGGACGUGACAGGGGGCAGUGGUGUGUCUGUCCACACUGUGGUCUGGAACAGUUAAAUAUCACGCAGCAGUUCUGUGGCGGCUUCAUCAUGAACACUACAACUCCACACAAAAACAAAUGAAAGGCACAGCCCCGUCCCCAGAGAAAGAGAGCGGGGCGGGGGAUGAACAAGCCAGAGGGGUUUGAAACUAAGCACUAUAUCCCGUGGUUUCAUCCAAGCCUUGUGGAUGGAGGAUCAAGCAGCGAUUUGAGCAACAACAACAACAGAAACGGCAAAUAAUCAAGGGUUGUUCGAAACAGUGAAGGACAAAUCAAAACACUGAGAGUCUGUUAAGUGGGUCUUAGUUUUCCACUGGUCCUGGGUCAGAAAAUACAGUCCUAAAGCAAGUGUUUAAACAAACAAAGCAGGUUUAUUUCAAACUAAAACAAUAUGCACCCAACAUCCACACCCCCCCCCAGAGAUCCAUGUCCCCAUGUCUUUCCUCCAACGGGGCACGUUCGGUUUAUGCUUUUUAAAAUCCGGUGAAGUAUAUGAAACAAAUCAAAGACAUUUAUUUGUAGCUGCGGGAGACACAACGAUCAUCGGCUUCCAUCUUUUUAAGUGUAUUUGUUCCCCCUCCCCCCGGGCAGCACACAAAGCACUCAUUUAAAACCUUGCAGCAGUGUUAUUAAAAAAGAAGAGCAGGGGGAAAACGGGGGGCAGCCAGUGUGGUUUCAAGUAUCGUGGUUGGACUGAAUUCAAUCCAAAGCCAGGGUUACUUACUUUCUUCCAUAGGAAGGCCAAACUGCCGCCGCCCCAAUUACAAUUGAAACAUUUGGGCUGAAAAAUGAUUAAAAUUCAUCAAUGGUUGAUUACUAAAAAUGAAUGUGGUGGCAAUACAACUUAAAAAAGAUGGGGAGGGGAGGGGGGGGAAAGGAGGAGCAUAAAAUACAAAAUGAUCUCCCAUUAAAAUAGCGUGCCGUCUACUUAAAAACACAGGUAUUUGUGAGAGAUAGAAUAUUGUUAUUGUUAUCGUUUCUCGAUACGACAACGGAUGUGUGCCGUGCCCCCGCCAUGUCCCGUGUGGCGAGGGGGGUUGGGGUGGGGGGUGGUUUGCUGGACAUGAGUGCAGAGAAGAAGAGACAACUUUACAAAAUGAUCUUUUACCUACUGAGUGAUGAUUAUGUCCCCUCAGUGUCUGUGUCAGUGUCUAGCACUGGCUGACUCGCAGCUCCCUCCACCGCAUCACUCUGUUCAUUGUCUACGUGCUGAGGGGAGGCCAGCGGCCCCUUCUGCUGCUGUGGCGGCGGCGGUGGUGUCGGCGCUUCCUCCUCGGCGUCGUCGUCCUCCGGGUCGCUGGGGGCGUCCUCGGGGCUGGAUCGCGGGCCGCCUGGGGAGAUGACGAGGUUGGGGGAGUGGGACAGGGAAGGGGACGGCGCCCCCUGGUGCGAGAUGUCGGGGGACGCCUCGGGCGUGGGGUCAGCCACGCAGAAGGGGUCCAUGGCGAGCCCGUUGGCCCAGCGGGCCUGGGGUGGGGAGGCUCUCCCCGGGGGCGACGCCGGCGGGCUGCCGGGCUCGUCCUGCUCCUCCAGAGAGUCGGGGCUCUGACCAGGGGAGCCGGGGGCUGGUAGGCAGGCGGCCGGGGAGUGGUACGGCGAGAUGGCGAGCGGGGAGGACGCCUCUGGGGGCGAGUCUACCUGAGGGGAGGCCGCUCGCUCCGGGGGCGACUGGACCGCAUCCGGAGUAGGGGACCGUAGAGACGGAGGGGUCUGGGGCUGAGGGGUCACAGGCCUAGGGGACACUGGCGCUGCCUCGGUGGCCGGGCUCAGGGCCUUGGUCUCUGCUGGCGACUGGGCUGGAGGGGGACUGGGCUGGAGGGGGACUGGGCUGGGGCGGGGACUGGGCUUGAGGUGGGGAAUGGGCGGGGCUGGGGAAUGGGCUGGGGCUGGGGAAUGGGCUG
ensembl:lncRNA